UCCAAAGCACGUCUUACCUGACAGUGCUGGGCUGUACACAGGUGUUCUAACACUGUCUGGUAAUGAUGUCCCCUGAA
rnacentral:pre_miRNA from 1 species